UACGUAGGUGGCAAGCGUUGUCCGGAUUUACUGGGCGUAAAGGAUGCGUAGGCGGAUGUUUAAGUGAGGUGUGAAAUACCCGAGCUCAACUUGGGUGCUGCAUUUCAAACUGGAUAUCUAGAGUGCAGGAGAGGAAAGCGGAAUUCCUAGUGUAGCGGUGAAAUGCGUAGAGAUUAGGAAGAACACCAGUGGCGAAGGCGGCUUUCUGGACUGUAACUGACGCUGAGGCAUGAAAGCGUGGGGAGCAAACAGGAUUGAG
rnacentral:rRNA from 1 species